rnacentral:rRNA from 1 species
UAGUAUUCAAUUGUCAGAGGUGAAAUUCUUGGAUUUAUUGAAGACUAACUAUUGCGAAAGCAUUUGCCAAGGAUUUUUUCAUUAAUCAAGAACGAAAGUUAGGGGAUCGAAGACGAUCAGAUACCGUCGUAGUCUUAACCAUAAACUAUGCCGACAAGGGAUCGGAUGAUGUUAAUUUUUUAAUGACUCA